CGUCUAUAUACGUAUAGCAUAUCAAUAAGCGGAGGAAAAGAAACUAACUAGGAUUCCCUCAGUAACGGCGAGUGAAGCGGGAAGAGCUCAAAUUUGAAAUCUUAAAGGGUUUUCCCUUGACGAAUUGUAGUUUAAAGAAGUGUUUUCUGUUGGAAUUUUCGGUAAAAGUUCUUUGGAAUAGGACAUCAUAGAGGGUGAGAAUCCCGUAUUUGACCAUUAUUUCCAACUUUGUGGAUACACUUUCAAAGAGUCGGAUUGUUUGGGAAUGCAGUCCAAAAUGGGUGGUAAAUUUCAUCUAAAGCUAAAUACUGGCGAGAGACCGAUAGCGAACAAGUACCGUGAGGGAAAGAUGAAAAGAACUUUGAAAAGAGAGUUAAACAGUACGUGAAAUUGUCAAAAGGGAAGCGUUUGACACCAGUGUUGUUUUCUCGAAAAUCAAUUAAAAAUGGUGGGAUUUUGUGUUGUAUUGACUUUAUCAGCUUUCUGCACUUUUUUCCUAUCUUUUUUAAUGCACUUUUCGUUUAACAAGUCAACAUCAAUUUCUUUUGUUGUAAAAGAGUCAUUGGAAGGUGGCUUUCUUUUCGGAGAAAGUGUUUAUAGCCUUUGACUUCUGCAAUCGGAGAGAUUGAGGUCUGCAGCGUAGAUCCUUCGGGGUUAGAUGCAUUUGUGCUAAGCUAUAGCCUUUCAUAGACAACUUGUUGACUAUGAUCAGUCAUGUAGCUUACUCGCUUAUGUCAUUUUACCUACGCUUAGGAUGUUGAUCUGUAGUGCGUGCGC
rnacentral:rRNA from 1 species